CCUCGCUCCCGCGACUCCGCUGCGGGUCUGCACACCCGAGGACUCGGUUUGAAACGCCCGCUUAUUUAUUUUCUUGUCGCCUCGCUACAAGAUUCUAUCCUUGUUUGGGCAUGAGUGGGGGGCGGCAGUCUCGUGGGACCGGCGGCAUUCGUCGUUCCUCCUUACGGGGAUAAUUCGAGAAGUGCGGUCCGGGUAGGGAGAGAAAUCAGGAGAGAAAAUGAGAAAGAGAAUCCUCGUUUCCCCUCAAAGUUGGACGACCCACUCGUAUAUCUCCUUUUUGGGAGAUUCGCCCAUAACUCAGCACAAACAGGGAAUAGCCCGGAAAGCGCGCGAGUUCCCGUCCGAUUGUGGCGGGGGAGGCUGAACGUUUGGUCCACACGGGUGCAGGACGCGGGGGUCAGGCCUCCUGCUGCGGAGGAAGAGGGGGAAGAGGCCGCGCGGGAGGGACUUCUGACACGCGCCACUGUUUUUGUUUUCAAACAGGGGUACUUAACCGAAACUAGCAAUCCCAGGCGGUACAAGGCCCUCCAUCGUAGGCAAAGCACUACCUGAAUGUAGAUUUGGGCCAUACGUUGGAAAAUAAGACAUGAGAGUAUGCUCCGAUCAACUUUUACUGUUCACUGGACAACUAUUUUGGGAAUUUGCAGACCUAUAAAGCCCAUCUAUAAAUCUCAAGCAUGUCCACUUUCAGAGAAGAGAAAUGCUGACAACCAUUUAGUCUCUGAGGACAACACUUUUAAAGAGCCAGAAAGGUACAUUUCCUCUUCAUGUGUUCUCACUUCCAUCCUUUACCUCGGUGAAAAGACGUUUUCCUUCCGUACACUCAUCAGUCCAAGAGGGAUGAAGCUUGUGGAAAUUUUGCAGCAGCCUUCCCUGACCAUGGUGGCCUGAAGUGCACCUUUUAUACAGGACUCCAUCAUAGGACUGGAGAGAGAUUGGAUGUCAGAGUGAUUGAUGUGCUCCUACUGGAAGAAGGCAAACAUCCAUAUGUGAACUGCCUGUGGGGUUUCCAAGGAAAGGAACGGCAGGCAGCCUCUAUGAGCUUAAAGAAGAUAACUGGGACUUUAGUCCUAUAACCUCAAGGAACAGUAUUCUGUGAACCAUCUGAGAAGCUUGGAAGAGGACCCCAAACUCCAAAUAAGAAGCUCAGUGUGUCUGACACCUUGACUGCAGGCUUGGGAGGUCCUGAGCAGAAGAUCCAGUUCAACAGUGCCUGGACUCCUGAUCCACAAAAACUGAUAACAAAUAUUUAUUGUUUUAAGAUGCUAAGUUUGUAGUCAUUUUUUAUACAGCAACAGAAAACUAAACACACACAUAAACAGUUAUAAGUGCUCACUGUAUAUGAGGCUUUUCAUUAAUAAUCUAUAUUUUAUAAUAGAAUUAGAAUAUAGAUCUGUGAAGCUGAAGACACUCAAUCCUUGCUAGAUUUAAAUCAGGAAAAUCAGCUGAGAAUCAUUCCUUGAUAGAACCUGGAAAACAAGACCCUAUGAGAGACCCUGGGAAUUACAUUAAAUUCACUGUGGUUCCCAGUGUCACUGAAGAGGUUUUCCUUUCAUAGUCAGGUAGUCACCAUACUGUUAAGCAUUUGAACACAUGGGCAACUUCCAGAAUAGUUAUGACAUUGAUAUACCAAUCUCCAAAAUUCCUAGAAUACCAUGUUUUCAUGGUUGACCUUCAAAUCAGUCAGUUCUUUGUAACAUUGAGCCAUAAAGAUAGGGCAAAUACUUAAUGUUUUACAUAUAUUCAGAGAUUGACCCUCAAAAUACAGCCCAGAGAAACUCAAAAGAAUUAACUCUAUUUCUUCAAAUUGUGUGACGCCACCAAGGCCAGAUGACUUCAGCAUUGGGAAGGCAAUAUCCAGCUGUCAUCUUCUUGAUCCUCAUAUGCUACUACUAGCAUCUAGCAUUUACUGAGCAGAUAGUUUUAUUGUCCAGUUUUUAAAGAUAAGAAAAUUGAGGUAUUAGGAAAGUUAAGUUGGUUGCCUAGGGAAACACGAAGAUAUAGCCCAGAUUCACUCCCAGGCAGGCAGAUGCCAGUGUCUGCUCUCUUUACCACCGAAAUAUCCUGCUACAUGUACAAUUUCAAUAAAUAUCUGGACUUACUGGAACAAAACAAA
rnacentral:lncRNA from 1 species